AAGUCGUAACAAGGUUUCCGUAGGUGAACCUGCGGAAGGAUCAAUCCAAAUAUAAAUUACAAUUCAAUUGUAUUUAUUAUAAAAAAAUAAUGGUAGUUAUAUUUGCAAUAGCAAUAUAAUUAUCGUGAUUACAAUAUAGACAGUGUCUUAGUAAUCAAACAAAACAUUUUAGCCAUUUGAAAUUAAAAAUAAAAAGUAGAUACACAACUAUUAGUGGUGGAUCACUUGGCUC
rnacentral:misc_RNA from 1 species